rnacentral:rRNA from 1 species
UACAGGGGGGGCAAGCGUUAUUCGGAAUUAUUGGGCGUAAAGGGCGUGUAGGCGGCCUCGUAUGUCUUCUGUGAAAGCCCUCGGCUCAACCGGGGAACUGCAGGAGAAACGGCGAGGCUCGAGUCCGGGAGAGGAAAGCGGAAUUCCCAGUGUAGCGGUGAAAUGCGUAGAUAUUGGAAGGAACACCAGUGGCGAAGGCGACUAUCUGGAUAGAUACUGACACUGAGACACGAAAGCGUGGGGAGCAAACAGG